AUAGCUUCUCGGCCUUUUGGCUAAGAUCAAGUGUAGUAAUUUUUCUUAGAGUCUGAUAUAAUUGGUUCUAAUACAAAGACAGCCUGAGUGUAGUUACUAUAUAAUUAAAUAGUACUCAUGCUCUCAGGCAAAGAGUUUAAAGUUUAUAGGUACCUAAUAAACUCGCACUGGGACAUAUAAAGAACAUU
ensembl:snRNA U2 U2 spliceosomal RNA